GCAGAGUCAAGGGGAGGAACCGAAAGCCCAAAGACCAUUUCCUUCAGUGUGGCGAUUGCUUCUCAGAGUCCCUCCAGAGACACAGGAGCAGCAGGGAAGUGGGGCCUGUUUUCACUUUACAAAAAGAAAUCCUGAACCUCCCGCCAGGCAUCCGCCAACCCCAGGGGAUGAGAAUCUCCAUGUUACACACUGCAUUAGCCUCCAGUGGGUAGGCGCUGUGAAUGUGUACCCCAUGCCUGCUCUGGACCAGGCACUGCAGAAUCACCCCACAGAGUUGUAGGCAAUCAACAGGUGUCCACUUCUUUCUAGGCACACAUGCUGUUCACCUCCUGUGGAUGUCUUGGUUGAUGAUACCCUCUGGACCCCCUCAACCUCAGAAAGCCUGUGACUACAAUCCAGGAUUGGCAAAAUUUCCUGAAAGCCUCCGGAAGAGCGCAAUUCCUUGUGGACAGCCAUGUUGGGGACACAGGGGAAAACCGCUUCCCCCAGGAUCUAGUGGGCUGAUGUGAUCCUGCUAUUUCCCCUGCUCCCAACUUCUGGGAGCAGAAGAUGCCAUGAGCGAAUGUGUAUGAUUGACAAGGAUCAAAGCCUUCCUCUGGUCCCUGUGCUGGAGUUGUCAGUGUGUGCAAAAACUAACAAUGGCACCUCCCCCAUCCAGGAAGACUGCAACUCGAGGAUGCUCCCUACAGAGCCCUCCUAAGAAGGUCAACUGACCUGCCCCCACUUUGCUAUACUAAUAAAAGUGCUGAGCUAACAGGUGGGUUGGGGCAAGUACAAUUACCCAA